rnacentral:misc_RNA from 1 species
CUCCUUGACUUCAAACCAUACAAUAGUAACAUUAUCUCAAAUCUUUGUACCUUCUUUCUUUGGUAAAUGCAGAACGUAAUAGAUCUCAGAUGUCCAAAACACAUGGUUUUUGGAUGCUAUGGCUCCUUUCAGCUGCAUUCUUCACAGUUUCAGGGAUGGUUCCACUUCUCUGUUAUCCUGCUAGAUCAUAUUUCUCAUCUCACAGAUGAGUACGUAAUAAACUCUCUUGAAGUAAAUUGAAAAGGUUGAUGGGGUAUAGGAUUCGGUCGAGGCCCAUAAACUUUGAUCUGCCGAACAUGAGUAUCCCUUCCGUUAAGAUGAUUUGACAGCACAGCUAUUUGUAACAUAAAUGUAUUGACAAAAGUUUCCCUAGGAUCAUUUCCAGAUAAGGAUAGAUAAACCCAGCCAGUUGGCUUUAGAAGCUCCACAGUCUUGAUCUCCUUCAAGUUGUGAAAUCCAUCGCCAGCGUGAAUAGAGAUCUUACUGGGGGUAUAGCUC